rnacentral:rRNA from 1 species
GGUGAGUAACACGUAGGUGACCUACCUCUGAAUGGGGGAUAACCAGAAGAAAUUCUGGCUAAUACCGCAUACGCACUAAGGUGUAAAGAUGGCCUCUCCUUGGAAGCUAUCGUUUAGAGAUGGGCCUGCGGGACAUUAGUUUGUUGGUGGGGUAAUGGCCUACCAAGGCGAUGAUGUCUAGCCGGUCUGAGAGGAUGAUCGGCCACACUGGAACUGAGACACGGUCCAGACUCC